rnacentral:tRNA from 1 species
AAAAAUGAAAAUUUSCACGGGCA